rnacentral:rRNA from 1 species
GACGAACGCUGGCGGCGUGCCUAAUACAUGCAAGUCGAACGAGAGCGACCGGUGCUUGCACUGGUCAAUCUAGUGGCGAACGGGUGAGUAACACGUGGGUAACCUGCCCAUCAGAGGGGGAUAACAUCCGGAAACGGAUGCUAAAACCGCAUAGGUCUUCGAGCCGCAUGGCUUGAAGAGGAAAAGAGGCGCAAGCUUCUGCUGAUGGAUGGACCCGCGGUGCAUUAGCUAGUUGGUGAGGUAACGGCUCACCAAGGCCGUGAUGCAUAGCCGACCUGAGAGGGUGAUCGGCCACAUUGGGACUGAGACACGGCCCAAACUCCUACGGGAGGCAGCAGUAGGGAAUCUUCCGCAAAGGACGCAAGUCUGACGGAGCCACGCCGCGUGAGUGAAGAAGGUUUUCGGAUCGUAAAACUCUGUUGUUAGAGAAGAACAAGUGCUAGAGUAACUGUUAGCGCCUUGACGGUAUCUAACCAGAAAGCCACGGCUAACUACGUG